CGCGGUCCCACCGCUCAAGAACUUCUUCUGCUCGGGUUCCGUCCGAUCCAUCUCCUGGAAGUCGAUGUGGGUUGACCCCGGGCUGUUAUUGGUGCUCUCUGAAGACGUGGACAGGUUAUAGAAGGUUUUGGGUGUUUAACCAGGAAUAAAGGAUUUGACCUCUUUGCUCGGACUCUGAUGCUCUCGUGUGGAGGAAAACGGGAAACUCUUCUUAACCCCAAAUAUAAGAUGUGUUUGCUGGAUGAUAAAACACCGAAGAAGGACCUGAACCACAUCUAGAGAGCAGACGAUUGGAGCAGACGCAGUUUUCCGCUGCAGUUCAAUGCAGGAACAGCCGCAUGCAGACGUCUCUGUGAGUCAGAAGUUUUUACACCUUUCUCUACAAAUGAUACACAACACACACACACACUUUCAGUUUACUCAGGCAUACGCUGCUUAUGUUGACAUGUUUAGUGCUUUAAAUCUGACCUCACAGAGAGAGCAAGAGAAA